GACGAACGCUGGCGGCGUGCUUAACACAUGCAAGUCGAACGGAAAGGCCCUGCUUUUGUGGGGUGCUCGAGUGGCGAACGGGUGAGUAACACGUGAGUAACCUGCCCUUGACUUUGGGAUAACUUCAGGAAACUGGGGCUAAUACCGGAUAGGAGCUCCUUCUGCAUGGUGGGGGUUGGAAAGUUUCGGCGGUUGGGGAUGGACUCGCGGCUUAUCAGCUUGUUGGUGGGGUAGUGGCUUACCAAGGCUUUGACGGGUAGCCGGCCCGAGAGGGUGACCGGCCACAUUGGGACUGAGAUACGGCCCAGACUCCUACGGGAGGCAGCAGUGGGGAAUAUUGCAAAAUGGGCGGAAGCCUGAUGCAGCAACGCCGCGUGCGGGAUGACGGCCUUCGGGUUGUAAACCGCUUUCGCCUGUGACGAAGCGUGAGUGACGGUAAUGGGUAAAGAAGCACCGGCUAACUACGUG
rnacentral:rRNA from 1 species